rnacentral:rRNA from 1 species
UAUGAAGGCGGGCUGGAAUCUCUCGGGGUUACAGCCUUGCUGAAUUAUUCACCCUUGUCUUUUGCGUACUUCUUGUUUCCUUGGUGGGUUCGCCCACCACUAGGACAAACAUAAACCUUUUGUAAUUGCAAUCAGCGUCAGUAACAAAUUAAUAAUUACAACUUUCAACAACGGAUCUCUUGGUUCUGGCAUCGAUGAAGAACGCAGCGAAAUGCGAUAAGUAGUGUGAAUUGCAGAAUUCAGUGAAUCAUCGAAUCUUUGAACGCACAUUGCGCCCUUUGGUAUUCCAAAGGGCAUGCCUGUUCGAGCGUCAUUUGUACCCUCAAGCUUUGCUUGGUGUUGGGCGUCUUGUCUCUAGCUUUGCUGGAGACUCGCCUUAAAGUAAUUGGCAGCCGGCCUACUGGUUUCGGAGCGCAGCACAAGUCGCACUCUCUAUCAGCAAAGGUCUAGCAUCCAUUAAGCCUUUUUUCAACUUUUGACCUCGGAUCAGGUAGGGAUACCCGCUGAACUUAAGCAUAUCAAUAAGCGGAGGAAUA